rnacentral:rRNA from 1 species
GACGAACGCUGGCGGCGUGCUUAACACAUGCAAGUCGAACGGAAAGGCCCUGCUUUUGUGGGGUGCUCGAGUGGCGAACGGGUGAGUAACACGUGAGUAACCUGCCCUUGACUUUGGGAUAACUUCAGGAAACUGGGGCUAAUACCGGAUAGGAGCUCCUGCUGCAUGGUGGGGGUUGGAAAGUUUCGGCGGUUGGGGAUGGACUCGAGGCUUAUCAGCUUGUUGGUGGGGUAGUGGCUUACCAAGGCUUUGACGGGUAGCCGGCCUGAGAGGGUGACCGGGCACAUGGGGACUGAGGUACGGCCCAGACUCCUACGGGAGGCAGCGGUGGGGAAUAUUGCACAAUGGGCGGAAGCCUGAUGCAGCAACGCCGCGUGCGGGAUGACGGCCUUCGGGUUGUAAACCGCUUUCGCCUGUGACGAAGCGUGAGUGACGGUAAUGGGUAAAGAAGCACCGGCUAACUACGUG